CAGGACGAACGCUGGCGGCGUGCCUAACACAUGCAAGUCGAGCGAGGAGAUCCUCGGGAUGAUCUUAGCGGCGGACGGGUGAGUAACACGUGGGCAACCUGCCUCAUAGAGAGGAAUAGCCUUCCGAAAGGGAGAUUAAUACCUCAUAACAUUGCAGUUUCGCAUGGAACAGCAAUUAAAGGAGUAAUCCGCUAUGAGAUGGGCCCGCGGCGCAUUAGCUAGUUGGUGAGGUAAUGGCUCACCAAGGCGACGAUGCGUAGCCGACCUGAGAGGGUGAUCGGCCACAUUGGGACUGAGACACGGCCCAGACUCCUACGGGAGGCAGCAGUGGGGAAUAUUGCACAAUGGGGGAAACCCUGAUGCAAGCAACGCCGCGUGAGUGAUGACGGCCUUCGGGUUGUAAAGCUCUGUCUUCAGGGACGAUAAUGACGGUACCUGAGGAGGAAGCCACGGCUAACUACGUGCCAGCAGCCGC
rnacentral:rRNA from 1 species